rnacentral:tRNA from 1 species
GGAGAGGUGGCAGAGUGGUCGAUUGCGCCUGACUUGAAAUCAGGUGUACCGAAAGGUACCGUGGGUUCGAAUCCGACCCUCUCCG